AUGGAGUCCAGCGCUGUCGCCGAUUGUUUGAGAGAUAAGUGCAUCCUCAUCACCGGCUCAACAGGGUACCUCGGGAAAUUGCUAGUGGAGAAGAUAUUGCGGGUUCAGCCGGUUGUGAAGAAGUUGUACCUACUGGUCCGCGCGCCCGACGCUACGUCUGCUGAGCAGCGUGUCUUGUCCGAGGUCAUUGGAAAGGAUCCCUUCAAUCUUCUACGAGAAAAAUACGGGAUUACUGGCUUCCAUAACUUCAUCAAAGAAAAGGUAGUACCUCUCGCCGGAGACAUCGUGGAUGGCUACUUAGGGCUCCACAACUCAAGAGUUCAUGCCCUGUCGGAGGAGAUUGAUGUUAUCAUCAAUGUGGCUGAAACCACUAACUUUUUUGAAAGGUUCGUUCCUUGA
rnacentral:rRNA from 1 species